CGCGCCAAAUUAGAAUCCUGUAAACACAAAUGAGUUCUCUGGAAGAAUGUUGUGUUCGGAAGCAGAGGUUUAGGAUUAGCUUCUGUAGUUUGUAACACAAUCUAUUUAUUUGGGGGAAAAAACAAGUGCAUCACAGGGACAGUCGUAUAAUUAAAGUUUUUCAACGGCGAUGUCGACAGAAUUGGAUAAAGCGAUGAAAGAUUACGAGGUGGCGUGCGCAGACCUGGGGGAGGAGCUAAAGGGGCUGUCGGACCGACUCUGCGCGUUGUUGCGGUAUCAGAGGAGCCUGCUGACCACCAACACACUGCUGAUGUCCUGGAUGCAGAAUGCAGAAAAGCUGUGGAAACACAGGAGACAGACCCGCCUGGUGUCAGACUCCUGACGCUAAGAUGGGCCCAGCAGCGUGGGGUGAUGACUACGGUGUCUGUGUGCUGUCCCAGCAGCCCAUCUGUGUGGAGUAUCAGAUGCCCAGUCGCAGGGCGCUGGCAAACUCUGCGCAAAGAUCUGGUCUCCUGUGGGGGUUUGUGCCAGAAGCUCAUUACACAGAUUAAAGAGAAUGUAGAAAACCAGG